UACGUAGGGACCGAGCGUUGGCCGGAAUCAUUGGGCGUAAAGAGCGUGUAGGCGGCUACUUAAGUCCUGCGUGAAAUCUUGCGGCUCAACCGCAAGCGGUCGUGGGAAACUGGGUGGCUAGAGUGCGGGAGAGGAGAGUGGAAUUCCUGGUGUAGCGGUGGAAUGCGCAGAUAUCAGGAAGAACACCCGUGGCGAAGGCGGCUCUCUGGAACGCAACUGACGCUGAGACGCGAAAGCGUGGGGAGCAAACAGG
rnacentral:rRNA from 1 species